UACGGAGGGUGCGAGCGUUGUCCGGAAUCACUGGGCUUAAAGGGCGCGUAGGCGGCGCGACAAGUCAAUGGUGAAAGCCCGAGGCUCAACUUCGGGUCGGCCACUGAUACUGUUGGGCUUGAGCACUGUAGAGGCAGGUGGAAUUCCGGGUGUAGCGGUGGAAUGCGUAGAGAUCCGGAAGAACACCGGUGGCGAAGGCGGCCUGCUGGGCAGUAGCUGACGCUGAUGCGCGACAGCGUGGGGAGCAAACAGG
rnacentral:rRNA from 1 species